UACGUAGGGGGCAAGCGUUAUCCGGAUUUACUGGGUGUAAAGGGAGCGUAGACGGCUUUGCAAGCCAGAUGUGAAAGCCCGGGGCUCAACCUCGGGACUGCAUUGGAAACUGGCGGGCUGGAGUGCCGGAGAGGUAAGCGGAAUUCCUAGUGUAGCGGUGAAAUGCGUAGAUAUUAGGAGGAACACCAGUGGCGAAGGCGGCUUACUGGACGGCAACUGACGCUGAGGCUCGAAAGCGUGGGGAGCAAACAGG
rnacentral:rRNA from 1 species